CCCCUCCUGCCUUCUCCCACGCAGCUCCUCGUCUCUUCAAGGCGGAAAAGUGCUUCUAGACUCAGCUCUCACACGGCUCGGGCAGCCGAGAAAGGUGUGUGGAGAUUCACUAUGUCUAUUCUGAUAGCAAAUACUUUCAUUGAGUAAAUUGGAUGCUGUGGACCUCCAGGGCCUCCUGGACCUCUGGGGCCUCUUGGAGUUGCAGGUCCUAGAAGACCUGCAGGAUUCCUGGAAAUUACCAUUUCGACUUUGAUGUAGAGCUUCGCCACUGCGAGGUGAAGGUUUGGCUAAUGACGAACCAAAGCCAAGUUUUGGAAAAGGAUCUGAUCGCCAAAAAAGAGUAUGUUAAUAUCUCUGGCGCUGUAAUUAUGCUUCUGAAAAAGGGGGAUAAGGUGUGGCUAGAAGCAGAAGUUGAAACUGAGGAACCAAAGCAAGCAGAAGUCACUAUUUCUCAGGUUUCCUGAAUUCAUCCCUGAAACUAAGCCUCAUGUGAGUCUGCAGCCUGAAAAGGAAUAAAGCCAGUUUCUAAUUUCUGAAAUCUUGGAUUUCUUUCAUUCCCCAUUCUGAGAAAAAUAAUUGCAUGAAAAAAAAAGGCAUUUCUGCUUUCAUUAAAGCUGGGGCUUGAAAGAUGUUAUCAGAAUCAGGAAAUUAACUUGUUCAAACAACCCUAUCCUCAAGACCAAGGCCAUUCCUAUUUACACCAUCCCGACUAGAGUUGUUGCGGAAAUAUCGGCUUCCCUGUGCACCGAUGCUGAACAGAAAUACGGAGACAGAGAUUUUGGAGGAAAAGAGAGAUGGCUUUAUUUUUCUGCCAAGCAGAAGGGGGGACACAGCUGAAGAGGUGAAGGUUUAUGUUUUGAUUUGAGCACGCUAACGCCUAACGUCUAAAGUCUGUUACCAACUGCUGGAGCCAAAAUGGGAAGCGCUUCCUCUAAGGUUCCACCCCAACCUGGGAACCCUUACGGAAAAUUUUAAAUGACUGGUCGACCAAUAGCUAUGAUCCAGUGACAAAGAAAAAUGGCCUGAAAAUGGGUCUCCUACAAUUAGAUCUUUAUUGCCACAGGAUGGGAAAAAUGGACUGAGGUUCCCUUAUGUUCAGGACUUUAUGCCCCUUUUAUUAUAAUCCUGCUCUAGGUGGAUCCAUAAUCAAAAGCCUGAGGAGUCAGAAAAAACAAAAGAAAAACUCUCCUGACAUUCUAAAUGAUCCUCUUCUAACUUCUCCCAACUCUCAAGGGAAGAGGGGAACGAAGCUUCCCCAACUCCUGCAAGUUCCCUCACUCCUUCAGAUUCUCCUGACCAAACUAAGACCCCACCUCCUCAGAGGGACAAUCCCUGCUGGGACAACAUUUUCUCAGCCAGUCUGCCCCUGUUAUCAGAGCCAAGUUGAGCACUAUCUGGUUUAAAUUUUAGCUGUGAAACCAUGACCACAGAAAGAGAAAGAUGAUUUUUGACAGUAUGGCCACAAUAUUCUUUAGACUCUGGAGAAAAUUGGUUAAAAUAAAACUGUUCUUAAAAUUGCAAAACCAAUUCUUUUUGCAUGUGCAAUUAGAAAAAGCUAGCUUGUUAAAAUACUUUUCUUCAAAAUUCUGACCCUGAGAGAACAAAAAUAUGCCUAGGACAAAGCUUGAAGUUAACUCUUAUCACGUCCUUGAGCUACAAACAUAGCCCGCUCUGCUUGAGACUUCAGCCUUGGGUUAAUUAGUAGAACUUCAAGCC